GGGCAGAGUAAGCAGCGAGAGUUUCCAUUUCCGCUACGGAAUAUGCAGGCAUGGCCGUUGGUCUACCAUCAACAUCUUUCUGAGGAGACACCACAGAACCAGAAACUUGAGGAUUUUCGAUCAUCGCAGGGUAUUCCAGCAAAAGAAGAUCGAGUCGGAAUAUACGGUUGAAGGACGGGCUUAGAACCUUUGAGAUUGGGCGUUUGAUAUUACUGCUCGGAAGGAUCCACCGCCAGAAUCGAGAAAGCAAGAGGUACGCUACAGUGGACUGAGGAUUGUCCAUCGGACAACGCGUUCUGCUCUAUCUCAUUCUGCACGAGCUGCAAACGCUGUGUCCCUCUAAAGCUGCAAUUCCGGAAUCACACAAUGACACGUCAUGCAUUGGACGACGUGCUGUAAUCCAAUGGUGGCUGAUCCGUGGCUGCUUAUAGAAACUCAGUUUGAUACUUAGGAGUCCACACUCCUCCACAAUGCAGCAGGCUAGAUUUUUCCGAUCAUAGUCCUUACAUUGGAAAAAGCGGCAUUCCAAAAGCCUGAAAGGUGUGUGAAUGGAAACAAAAUUGCCUAGCUGCACCAAUGGAAAUUAGCUUUGCAGUUUGAUGAAGUGAUAUUAUACUAUGCUUCGAGGAGCUAGAACUCAGUUUCAAAUGAUUGCAAGGAUUUUACUCUUCAAGCAAGCAUUGUGAUCGAGAUUAUCAUGAAUGGGUUACCAGCAUGAUAUAAUCAACAAAUUAUUCUAUACAUUCUCUACGAGAGCUAGAUACAUGUGUAAAUGACAACACUGCCCUUUAUCA